AUAUCCUGCAACAGUUUGAACAAGCAUAUUAGGCAUGAAAAUAAACAUGCAUAAUUUCACAAAAGUAGAUAAAGAAACUCGACAUUAUGCAUUUGAAGGAAUAUGCAGUACUUUUAUCAAUAUUGUUUUGUGUAGUUUAUGUUGAUGGCGGUGAUAAUAAAUGCCUUCUCCCUAGUGAAAGGGCCACGCUAAGGAGUAACAAGAUAAAGAUUGAUGAAAAACUUCGAUUUAUACUGCCAAAGUUUUCAAUGCCAAGACGUGUUAGAAGAGCUGGGAGGGACGUCUUUAGAGGUAAAUCUACCAUAGCCUUAAAAAUUCAGGCUGCAUAUGAAAAGGCGGAGAGAUACUGCGGAAAACCUCGUUACACGACAAAAUUCCCGGGUUUUAACUUGAAGGACUUUGAUAAAAAGAGUGUAUGUGCCGGUUCCUGGAGCACUAGGAAAAUUCUUACAUAUUAUCAAGAUCCGGAUAAUAAUUGGAAUUGCUGGACUCUGAAGCCCUUUGCAAAGUUAAACUGUCCAACUUACAACUGUAACAGUGGUUUUUGCCAUGGCCUUAAAGACAAAAAAACUACACCAACGGUUACGAAGUACAGAUGUGAAAUCUCUGGAUUUGUCGAUAUUCCAUUUUAUGUUUACUGUUUUCCACCUAAAGGUUUUGGGUUUGAAUUCAAAUCCUUCAAAAUGGUAGUCUCACGAUGUUGUAAUUGUUCCAAAUUUACAUGUUCUAAAUAAUAAAGUGGAUU